GAUCAUGGCUCAGAACGAACGCUGGCGGCAUGCCUAACACAUGCAAGUCGAACGAGACCUUCGGGUCUAGUGGCGCACGGGUGCGUAACGCGUGGGAAUCUGCCCUGGGGUGCGGAAUAACUCGGAGAAAUCCGUGCUAAUACCGCAUAAUGUCUUCGGACCAAAGAUUUAUCGCCCUGGGAUGAGCCCGCGUAGGAUUAGCUAGUUGGUGGGGUAAAGGCCUACCAAGGCGACGAUCCUUAGCUGGUCUGAGAGGAUGAUCAGCCACACUGGGACGGAGACACGGCCCAGACUCCUACGGGAGGCAGCAGUGGGGAAUAUUGGACAAUGGGCGAAAGCCUGAUCCAGCAAUGCCGCGUGAGUGAUGAAGGCCCUAGGGUUGUAAAGCUCUUUUACCCGGGAUGAUAAUGACAGUACCGGGAGAAUAAGCUCCGGCUAACUCCGUG
rnacentral:rRNA from 1 species